rnacentral:rRNA from 1 species
GAUGAACGCUAGCGGCAGGCCUAAUACAUGCAAGUCGAACGGUGUCUUCGGACAUAGUGGCGCACGGGUGCGUAACACGUAUGCAACCUACCUUACAUUGGGGGAUAGCCUUUCGAAAGGGAGAUUAAUACCGCAUAAGACAGUAGCUGGGCAUCCAGCAGCUGUUAAAGAUUUAUCGAUGUAAGCUGGGCAUGCGUCCAAUUAGCUAGUUGGUGAGGUAACGGCUCACCAAGGCAAUGAUUGGUAGGGGAACUGAGAGGUCAAUCCCCCACACUGGAACUGGGAUACGGGCCAGACUCCUACGGGAGGCAGCAGUAGGGAAUAUUGGGCAAUGGACGCAAGUCUGACCCAGCCAUGCCGCGUGCAGGAUGAAGGCGUUAUGCGUUGUAAACUGCUUUUAUACAGGAAGAAACGACUCUUGCGAGAGGCAUUGACGGUACUGUAUGAAUAAGCACCGGCUAACUCUGUGCCAGCCGCCGCAGUAACAC